GCCAGUUAGCUCAGUGACAGAGCACCUGCUUUGUACGCAGAAGGUCCCAGGUUGAAGCCCUACUGGCAGCA